AGGCCCACUACAACAGGCACGCUCCGGUCAUGUCUACAUUCUGGCAACUGUGCCACAGGAUAUAGUAAUGAGCAUUGAGAGACACAGGGCUGGGCAGUAUUUCAAAAACAGGUGGCGGGUGCUACAGUGGUUAUACCACGAUUUGUGUCUGCAAACAAUGUACCCUGGGAAACUGUAUGCAGAGGCAGCCCAAGCCCUCAUAGCUAAGUUUCCGAACUUGGCUGACAGUACAGGGACUGGCUAUGACUCGUGGCGAGAAGCUUUAAGGUUUAAAGCUAAAUAUGAGCGAAGAAAGCUCAGACUGCAAGAAGACACAGAUGAUGGCCCACCACCUAAAAGACCAACAGUGGUCAACAAUGACAGUCUUGCCUCCACAAGGAUCACAAGAUCAU
rnacentral:lncRNA from 1 species